ACAUUUUUCAGCCACAGAAUGUCAUCAGAGCAAAUUUGUUGCCUCUUAAUAUUCACCAGAGGACAGUAAAUUUUGGACAUGGUCCUAUCAAAGGGAUCAUGGGACUUCAGAAAGUUUCAGAAAUGUGUAGUUUCCAGUGUGUCAGUGUGACAUUUUGUGUGAUACACAGUGUUCUCUGCUCAAAGAUGUUCCUAGGAGAGAGAAAGAAACAUCGUGAAUUUUUGUGUCAAGAUAUGACAAGGAAGAAACUGGACUGGAAGAAGCAUCUUUGUACCUGAGCGCUGUUUGAAGGAAAUUGGAAUAUGACCUCUUCUCCUGGCAGCACCCUCUUUUCUCCUGAUGUUCCUGCCUGGCUAAAGGAGGUGGCCACUUCUGGUUCCAUAUACCCAAUGUACUGAAUCACAGCUAAGGAGCGUUAUGUUUGCAAACUCAUAGAGUUUGUGACUAUCUACACAAGAUUUGAAGUGUCAAGCUAGUCAGCAUUUCACAAGCAAAGGAAAAAGAUCUCAGCCCCUCUGCUCCCUACCACCAGCUAAGGAGUUAUUGACAGCAGAAUAUAACAGAAAUUAAAAUCUUCCAAGUGAUACAUAAAUGAGGACAAGCUGUAUGGGGAAGAUGCCAGUAGACAUCUCAAGGACAACUCGUGCAGGACCAGACAUUCUGAGAGAAGACUAAAAACAGACCACACCAUUCUCAGAAAUUAAAAUGGCAUUAGAUCUGAAGAAAUGAAA